rnacentral:rRNA from 1 species
CGUAGUCAACCUUCCCGAUAGUGGGGGAUAACUAGCCGAAAGGUUAGCUAAUACCGCAUACGAUCUUCGAGUGGCAUCACUUGAAGAUGAAAGGAGCAAUCCGCUUUCGGACGGGACUGCGUCCCAUUAGCUAGAUGGUGGGGUAAUGGCCUACCAUGGCAUCGAUGGGUAGCUGGUUUGAGAGAGCGACCAGCCACACUGGGACUGAGAAACGGCCCAG